CCUACGGGUGGCAGCAGUGAGGAAUAUUGGUCAAUGGGCGCGAGCCUGAACCCUCCCCGUCGCUCGCGUUCUUCCUUCCCUCCUUUUUUUCCCCCUCUUUUUCCUUUGAGCAACGGGCGUCACGUGUGGCGCCACUGAGAGUACCCGGAGAAAAAGCAUCGGCUAACUCCGUGCCAGCAGCCGCGGUAAUACGGAGGAUGCGAGCGUUAUCCGGAUUUAUUGGGUUUAAAGGGUGCGUAGGCGGAUUUUUAAGUCAGCGGUAAAAUGUCCGGGCUCAACCCGGGCCGGCCGUUGAAACUGGGGAUCUUGAGUGGGCGAGAAGUAUGCGGAAUGCGUGGUGUAGCGGUGAAAUGCAUAGAUAUCACGCAGAACUCCGAUUGCGAAGGCAGCAUACCGGCGCCCGACUGACGCUGAGGCACGAAAGCGUGGGGAUCGAACAGGAUUAGAUAAAAGGGUAGUC
rnacentral:rRNA from 1 species